UCCUGAACUUGAUAAAACAGGCGAGGAACUUGAACUUCUUGGUUUACUGUAUGGGCUGUUUCAGCAGUUUAUUUCCUUUGAUCAAAGGUUUAGGGAUACCUUAUGGUCAGAAGUGGAUCUGAUAGUGGCAAAUCAAGAGAUGGAGCAUUACUGGCAAGAGUGCCUUCGUUUGCCACU